rnacentral:rRNA from 1 species
GGUUAAGCGACUAAGCGUACACGGUGGAUGCCCUGGCAGUCAGAGGCGAUGAAGGACGUGCUAAUCUGCGAUAAGCGUCGGUAAGGUGAUAUGAACCGUUAUAACCGGCGAUUUCCGAAUGGGGAAACCCAGUGUGUUUCGACACACUAUCAUUAACUGAAUCCAUAGGUUAAUGAGGCGAACCGGGGGAACUGAAACAUCUAAGUACCCCGAGGAAAAGAAAUCAACCGAGAUUCCCCCAGUAGCGGCGAGCGAACGGGGAGGAGCCCAGAGCCUGAAUCAGUGUGUGUGUUAGUGGAAGCGUCUGGAAAGGCGCGCGAUACAGGGUGACAGCCCCGUACACAAAAAUGCACAUGCUGUGAGCUCGAUGAGUAGGGCGGGACACGUGGUAUCCUGUCUGAAUAUGGGGGGACCAUCCUCCAAGGCUAAAUACUCCUGACUGACCGAUAGUGAACCAGUACCGUGAGGGAAAGGCGAAAAGAACCCCGGCGAGGGGAGUGAAAAAGAACCUGAAACCGUGUACGUACAAGCAGUGGGAGCACGCUUAGGCGUGUGACUGCGUACCUUUUGUAUAAUGGGUCAGCGACUUAUAUUCUGUAGCAAGGUUAACCGAAUAGGGGAGCCGAAGGGAAACCGAGUCUUAACUGGGCGUUAAGUUGCAGGGUAUAGACCCGAAACCCGGUGAUCUAGCCAUGGGCAGGUUGAAGGUUGGGUAACACUAACUGGAGGACCGAACCGACUAAUGUUGAAAAAUUAGCGGAUGACUUGUGGCUGGGGGUGAAAGGCCAAUCAAACCGGGAGAUAGCUGGUUCUCCCCGAAAGCUAUUUAGGUAGCGCCUCGUGAAUUCAUCUCCGGGGGUAGAGCACUGUUUCGGCAAGGGGGUCAUCCCGACUUACCAACCCGAUGCAAACUGCGAAUACCGGAGAAUGUUAUCACGGGAGACACACGGCGGGUGCUAACGUCCGUCGUGAAGAGGGAAACAACCCAGACCGCCAGCUAAGGUCCCAAAGUCAUGGUUAAGUGGGAAACGAUGUGGGAAGGCCCAGACAGCCAGGAUGUUGGCUUAGAAGCAGCCAUCAUUUAAAGAAAGCGUAAUAGCUCACUGGUCGAGUCGGCCUGCGCGGAAGAUGUAACGGGGCUAAACCAUGCACCGAAGCUGCGGCAGCGACGCUUAUGCGUUGUUGGGUAGGGGAGCGUUCUGUAAGCCUGUGAAGGUGUGCUGUGAGGCAUGCUGGAGGUAUCAGAAGUGCGAAUGCUGACAUAAGUAACGAUAAAGCGGGUGAAAAGCCCGCUCGCCGGAAGACCAAGGGUUCCUGUCCAACGUUAAUCGGGGCAGGGUGAGUCGACCCCUAAGGCGAGGCCGAAAGGCGUAGUCGAUGGGAAACAGGUUAAUAUUCCUGUACUUGGUGUUACUGCGAAGGGGGGACGGAGAAGGCUAUGUUGGCCGGGCGACGGUUGUCCCGGUUUAAGCGUGUAGGCUGGUUUUCCAGGCAAAUCCGGAAAAUCAAGGCUGAGGCGUGAUGACGAGGCACUACGGUGCUGAAGCAACAAAUGCCCUGCUUCCAGGAAAAGCCUCUAAGCAUCAGGUAACAUCAAAUCGUACCCCAAACCGACACAGGUGGUCAGGUAGAGAAUACCAAGGCGCUUGAGAGAACUCGGGUGAAGGAACUAGGCAAAAUGGUGCCGUAACUUCGGGAGAAGGCACGCUGAUAUGUAGGUGAAGCGACUUGCUCGUGGAGCUGAAAUCAGUCGAAGAUACCAGCUGGCUGCAACUGUUUAUUAAAAACACAGCACUGUGCAAACACGAAAGUGGACGUAUACGGUGUGACGCCUGCCCGGUGCCGGAAGGUUAAUUGAUGGGGUCAGCGCAAGCGAAGCUCUUGAUCGAAGCCCCGGUAAACGGCGGCCGUAACUAUAACGGUCCUAAGGUAGCGAAAUUCCUUGUCGGGUAAGUUCCGACCUGCACGAAUGGCGUAAUGAUGGCCAGGCUGUCUCCACCCGAGACUCAGUGAAAUUGAACUCGCUGUGAAGAUGCAGUGUACCCGCGGCAAGACGGAAAGACCCCGUGAACCUUUACUAUAGCUUGACACUGAACAUUGAGCCUUGAUGUGUAGGAUAGGUGGGAGGCUUAGAAGUGUGGACGCCAGUCUGCAUGGAGCCGACCUUGAAAUACCACCCUUUAAUGUUUGAUGUUCUAACGUUGACCCGUAAUCCGGGUUGCGGACAGUGUCUGGUGGGUAGUUUGACUGGGGCGGUCUCCUCCUAAAGAGUAACGGAGGAGCACGAAGGUUGGCUAAUCCUGGUCGGACAUCAGGAGGUUAGUGCAAUGGCAUAAGCCAGCUUGACUGCGAGCGUGACGGCGCGAGCAGGUGCGAAAGCAGGUCAUAGUGAUCCGGUGGUUCUGAAUGGAAGGGCCAUCGCUCAACGGAUAAAAGGUACUCCGGGGAUAACAGGCUGAUACCGCCCAAGAGUUCAUAUCGACGGCGGUGUUUGGCACCUCGAUGUCGGCUCAUCACAUCCUGGGGCUGAAGUAGGUCCCAAGGGUAUGGCUGUUCGCCAUUUAAAGUGGUACGCGAGCUGGGUUUAGAACGUCGUGAGACAGUUCGGUCCCUAUCUGCCGUGGGCGCUGGAGAACUGAGGGGGGCUGCUCCUAGUACGAGAGGACCGGAGUGGACGCAUCACUGGUGUUCGGGUUGUCAUGCCAAUGGCACUGCCCGGUAGCUAAAUGCGGAAGAGAUAAGUGCUGAAAGCAUCUAAGCACGAAACUUGCCCCGAGAUGAGUUCUCCCUGACCCUUUAAGGGUCCUGAAGGAACGUUGAAGACGACGACGUUGAUAGGCCGGGUGUGUAAGCGCAGCGAUGCGUUGAGCUAACCGGUACUAAUGAACCGUGAGGCUUAACCUU